rnacentral:rRNA from 1 species
GACGUAGGAUGCAAGCGUUGUCCGGAAUUAUUGGGCGUAAAGAGUUCGUAGGCGGCAUAUCAAGUCUGGUGUUAAAGCCCGGGGCUCAACCCCGGAUCGGCACUGGAUACUGGUAAGCUUGAGUGCAGUAGAGGCAAGGGGAAUUCCCAGUGUAGCGGUGAAAUGCGUAGAUAUUGGGAGGAACACCAGUGGCGUAAGCGCCUUGCUGGGCUGUUACUGACGCUGAGGAACGAAAGCCAGGGGAGCAAAUGGGAUUAGAUACCCCAGUAGUCCUGGCCGUAAACGAUGGAUACUAGGUGUUGCGGGUAUCGACCCCUGCAGUGCCGCAGCUAACGCAAUAAGUAUCCCGCCUGGGGAGUACGCACGCAAGUGUGAA